AAGUUAAGGGAUCCUGGGGAUUCUUUUAUGAUUUCAGGAAUUUUAGGCUAAAAUCUAUGUGGUCAGAGUAGAGCAGAGAAUUAAGCAAUUUUGGGCUGAAUUUAAGCACAAAAGGCAGCCAAUGUGGAAAAUUACUUAAUCCUUCGCUGAAUUUGGGUUCUGCAAACCUGACCUGCAUCAGCACAGAAGAGAAAAUUCCCUGGGGGGUACUCAGAGGUGAGCCACUGAGAUUAGCAAAGAAGGCUCUCAGGUAUCGAUCCCAGAUUCGUCUCCCGAGGCCCUUCCAAUGCGCUUACCUACCUGGAGCCUCUCGCUGGGACAGGCACAAAGAACAGGACCUAAGAAUUCCAUUUCUAAGAGUGAGUAUAGUAAGCAGGGGUAGAAAAAUAUAUGCACAUCACCUUGAGUGGAACCCGGUAGGGCUUGGUGUGAGGCCCAUCUUACAAGGUUCUAGUGAAAUAAAAAAACAUGACAACAUAGGACAGAAUGGGCUUUAAGUUCAGCGCAUUGAAUUAAGUGGGCUGAUUACUGUUCAGUGAGAGAAUGGGUAAUAUGGAGGAAGAGGAGGAAGGGGGGAAGGAGAAGGAGAUGGAGAGAAUAUUGUAGCCGCAGAAGACUAUAUCCUGAACCUUAAGGCACUAAAACCCACACGCUUCCCAAAGGGAGUCUCUCCAUGUCACUCACUACCUAGACAUCGGUAUCAUUUCUUCACUGCGUGUGCCGUCAUCAGAGGCGCUCCCAAUGAUGUCAGCUGCUCCUCUUGGCACGUAACCUUUGGCAGAAAUAGCACGCAUUUGCUCCUGCCCGACUCCGGGUAGCAAGUCCACCUAGAUAAAGCCCUCCCCUCAAGGCCGUCUCCCCACCGAUGACCUCUGGGGCACUCAGGCUCAGCUUUCCUGCUUUGAGAACUUCCUAGUUAAGUCCCCCUUAUCACUGGGAAAACCUGACCUCUAACAUGCAAAGCGGGUCAUGGAGCAGGGAGAACGGAACCCUCUGACUUUAAAGUCAACUUGGCUUUGCUUACCUUUGAAAUAGAGCACUUGUAUUUUGAAACUGUUUAUGAGAAGUUCUCUGAGUACUGAACUGCAAACGCAGAUACCAAGAAAUUCUGGGGCCAGAGUGUCCAAAUAACUGGGAUAAGGACAAUUGAGUUGAACAGUAAUAAAAUCUGGCACUGAUUGUUUAGGCUUUUGAAU
rnacentral:lncRNA from 1 species